rnacentral:lncRNA from 1 species
AUCGUGGUUUGUUGAGGAAAGGGGAGCGGGUAUUGUUGGUUGGCCCGGUUGCCGGGCAUACCCGUCUCUGCUCUCCGUAAGGACUUAGUCAUGGAGUGGCCCCCUGGAACAUACAGUGCAGCUCCAAGCCAUAUGGCUCUGGCUUGACUAAUUAUCAGGACCUCCACUGGUAGGGUGUUACUUUUCGGGUAGGCGUAAGGAAGUAGCUUGUGUAUUUAUAUUAAGAGGUCGGUC